GCUGAUUGGUGGUGACCUUGAAAGCUUUCAUGAAGGCUUUAAAGUGACAUAAAUUAGGGAGACAUGAUAGAGAGAGCAAUGGCUUAUCUGUAUUAAAUGAAAAAAGUCUUAACCAGAAGAGAAUUCAAGUGGGCCAAAAAUGAAUUCAGAAAGAAGACUUGGAUCACAUAAUUAGCUUUCAGGGAAUCAGUCCACUUUCUUAUCUGCUAAAAUCUUUUAUGGUGACAUGAUAUAAAGGUCUCUGUUCCUGGACUCAAGGAAAGAGGUCUUCCUCUCACUUGGGAAUGGAGUGGGAAGCGGACGUGCGUGGUCUUAGCUUUUUUUUCUCUUCCCUCUGAGAAGCAACUUCGUCAACCAACUGCAGGGCACACAACUUGACAGUUGCGGGUCCUUUCUCUGUUGUUUGCAUGCACCAUAUUCCAGAUAGAAGAAUGGAUGCAUGUGAUAGCACCCUCAGUAGUAUCUGAAUGAAAGUAACUGCCAACCUAUGAUUCUAUAUCCAAUGACAAUACUCUUCAAAAAUGAAGAUGAAAUAAUAGGUUUUCAGAAAAACAAAACUAAGGUAAUUUGUUGCCAGCAGGCCUACAUUUCAAACAAAACAAAACUGAAGAAAGACAUAUUCUAAAAAUUUUAUUCAGGAGGAAAACAAUCUUGGACAGAAAAAUAGAAAUUGAGAGAAGGUAUAUCUGUGUGUCAAUAUAAGUGAAUAUUGGCAAUAUAAAACAAUAAUUGAAAUGUUUUUUAGUUUACAUACAACAAAAAAUGUACAACAAAGAACAUAUAUGUACAAAAAUCAACAAAAUUGAUUAAUCUCUAGAAAGGCUGAUGAAGAGUAAGCGAAUGAACACAAGAAUGCAAGCUUGGUUUAGCAUUAGAAAAUCAAUCAAUUUAAUUCAUAUUACUAACAGAAUAAAGAAGAAAAAUCGUAUGAUCCUCUCAAUAAAUGUUGACAAAGCAUUUGACAAAAUCCAACAUCCAUGUAUGAUCAAAACCCUCAGGAACUAAGAAUAGAAAGAAACUUAUUCAACCUCAUAAAGAGCAUCUACAAAAACCCUACAACUAACGUAAUACUUAAUAGUGGAAUAUUGAACUCUUUCUCUCUAAUAUUUGGAACAAGGCAAGGAUGCUCACUUUCGUUACUUCUAUUCAAAGAUGUACUGUUUUUGAAUAAGUGGUCAAUUUAUACACAAUGCUGGCCAUAUAGUAAUCAUAUAGUACAUGUUAAUUAUUCUUUCUACCCUGCUUGUGGGAUCUUGCUGUGUGCAUCUGUGGAAGGCUAUCAUUUAACUUGUUUUAUUGAUCAUGUCCUGCCUGAUUCAAUGAAAACUUCAGCAAGAAGGGACCACGCCACAGAAAGUAUACCUCUCAUGCUAGCAACAUCUUAAUCAUCUUACAGACAAAU
rnacentral:lncRNA from 1 species